AGGGUUUGAUUAUGGCUCAGAACGUACGCUGGCGGCACGCCUAACACAUGCAAGUCGAACGAAGUAGCAAUACUUAGUGGCAGACGGGUGAGUAACAUGUGGGUAUCUGCCCUUUGGCCUGGAAUAGCACGAGGAAACUUGUGCUAAUACCGGAUAAGUCUUUACGGAGAAAGCUUUAUGCACCAUUGGAUGAGCCUGCACUUGAUUAGUUUGUUGGUGGGGUAAUGGCCUACCAAGACUGUGAUCAAUAGCUGAUUUGAGAGGAUGAUCAGCCACAUUGGGACUGAGACACGGCCCAAACUCCUACGGGAGGCAGCAGUGGGGAAUCUUGCACAAUGGAGGAAACUCUGAUGCAGCGAUGCCGCGUGAGUGAAGAAGGCCCUUGGGUUGUAAAGCUCUUUCGUCGGGGAAGAAAUGACUGUACCCGAAUAAGAAGGUCCGGCUAACUUCGUGCCAGCAGCCGCGGUAAUACGAAGGGACCUAGCGUAGUUCGGAAUUACUGGGCUUAAAGAGUUCGUAGGUGGUUGAAAAAGUUGGUGGUGAAAUCCCAGAGCUUAACUCUGGAACUGCCAUCAAAACUUUUCAGCUAGAGUAUGAUAGAGGAAAGCAGAAUUUCUAGUGUAGAGGUGAAAUUCGUAGAUAUUAGAAAGAAUACCAAUUGCGAAGGCAGCUUUCUGGAUCAUUACUGACACUGAGGAACGAAAGCAUGGGUAGCGAAGAGGAUUAGAUACCCUCGUAGUCCAUGCCGUAAACGAUGUGUGUUAGACGUUGGAAAUUUAUCUUCAGUGUCGCAGCGAAAGCGAUAAACACACCGCCUGGGGAGUACGACCGCAAGGUUAAAACUCAAAUGAAUCGACGGGGACCCGCACAAGUAGUGGAGCAUGUGGUUUAAUUCGAAGAUACGCGCAGAACCUUACCAACACUUGACAUGUUCGUCGCGACUUUAAGAGAUUAAAGUUUUCGGUUCGGCCGGACGAAACACAGGUGCUGCAUGGCUGUCGUCAGCUCGUGUCGUGAGAUGUUGGGUUAAGUCCCGCAACGAGCGCAACCCUCACUUUUAGUUGCCAUCAUUAAGUUGGGCACUCUGAAAGAACUGCCAGUGAUAAGCUGGAGGAAGGUGGGGAUGACGUCAAGUCCUCAUGGCCCUUACGUGUUGGGCUACACACGUGCUACAAUGGUAUCUACAACAGGAAGCAAAACGGCGAUGUUAAGCAAAUCCUCAAAAGAUACCUCAGUUCGGAUUGCACUCUGCAACUCGAGUGCAUGAAGCUGGAAUUACUAGUAAUCGUGGAUCAGCGUGCCACGGUGAAUGCGUUCCCGGGUCCUGUACACACCGCCCGUCACACCAUGGGAGUUGGUUCUACCUUAAGGCAAGGCUUAAAACCCUUGACCACGGUAUAGUCAGCGACUGGGGUGAAGUCGUAACAAGGUAACCAAGGG
rnacentral:rRNA from 1 species